UUAAGGAAUAUAUUUUACAUUUAAAGAAAGAUCAUUUGUGUGUUGUAAAUGAUAAAUUUGAAUGUACAUAUGAAAAAUGUUAUCAAUUAUUUGACAACAUUUAUAGAUUUAAAAGACAUUUUACAAGAAAACAUUAACUUGGAUUACAAAAACCCCAACAGUUAAAUGAGCCACCAAAAGUGUUCAAUAGGGAUCCUGUUCAAAGUAUAAAUAUCAGUAGUGAUACUAUUGAAAGUAGUAAUAUCGAUAAUGUUCCAGAUCAUACUAGCAAUAAUGAUUUUAAUUUAAAUGAUUUGAAAAGUUCUUUUUUAAAUUUUAUUUUGCACUUACACAAUAAAGACAAUAUUUGCCGAAAAGAUGUUCUAGAAAUUCAAAAAAUGAUAAAAGAGCCUCAACAAAACGAAGAAGAACAACAGUUAUAUUCUUUACUAUCAUCAUGGAACUUACUUCAACUUUUUGAUAAACUAAAAGAACAACAAUGUUAUGUUUCCGGACUAAAAGUUAUAAAAACUCAUCAAAUAGAGAAAGUAGUCGCAAAUGUUCCCGUUGGCUUAGCAAUAUUAUAAUAUAAAAUUACCUAUUAAAUGUUCUACGUCCGAUAAUAUAAGCUUUAGUUCGGAGUAUUCAAAUUGUUCCAAAGAAAAGCAUGAAUUUAAUGAAGAUCUUCAAUUUAUACUAAUGAAAUCCAAGAACGGCCAAAGUUUAAUUGAAUAUUACAAGAAACAUAACUCAUUUAAAGAAAGCUUUUAAUAAAUACAAUAGCAAAACAUUUCAUUGAUUCAGAUCUGCCAUUUUCUUUAGGAGAAAGUCAUCGUUUGGAAGAAGAAAUACUAAAGAUAUUUCCCAGCGAAAAACUCGAAUUUUAUCGAACUUGCAAAAGAGGUCGGAUUUAUGCUAAAAUGUGCAAUUUGAAAACCCAAACGAAGCUUGCUUUUUCUGAAUCUACUACACCAUCCUCAUCGUCUAGUAAUGAGGAGUCCCAUUUUGAUAAAAAUAGUUGUUAAAAAAUUCCAAUACAUACUUACAUAUAUAUUUUGUCAAUAAUUUAUAUAAUUAGUGCCUGAAGAAGAUUAUGAAACAAUAAGAAACUCUUUAAAAGAUGACAAACUUAA